rnacentral:rRNA from 1 species
GACGUAGGGCGCAAGCGUUGUCCGGAUUUAUUGGGCGUAAAGAGCUCGUAGGCGGCUUGUUGCGUCGACCGUGAAAACCCGCGGCUCAACUGCGGGCUUGCGGUCGAUACGGGCAGGCUGGAGUUCGGUAGGGAGACUGGAAUUCCUGGUGUGAGCGGUGAAUGCGUAGAUAUCAGGAGGAACACCUGUGGUGUAGACAGCUUUCUGGACCAUUGCUGACGCUGAGACACGAAAGCGUGGGUAGCAAACAGG